rnacentral:rRNA from 1 species
AACACGUGGUUAACCUACCCUCAGGACGGGGACAAACCCGGGAAACUGGGGCUAAUACCAGAUAGGCGAGGACGCCUGGAAUGGUUCUUCACCCAAAGGGCUUUGGAAACAUGCUUUUCAAAGUCGCCUGGGGAUGGGGCCGCGUCCGAUCAGGUUGUUGGUGAGGUAAUGGCUCACCAAGCCUAUAACCGGUACGGGCCGUGAGAGCGGUAGCCCGGAUAUGGGCACUGAUACAAGGGCCCAUGCCCUACGGGGCGCACCAGUCGCGAAAACUCCGCAAUGCACGAAAGUGUGACGGGGCUACCCCGAGUGCCGUCCGCUGAGGAUGGCUUUUCCUCUGUGUAACUAGCCGGGGGAAUAAGGAGAGGGCAAGACUGGUGUCAGCCGACGCGGUAAUACCAGCUCUC